UCGGGUAUCCAAGCUUGCUUGC
rnacentral:siRNA from 1 species